UACGUAGGGUGCAAGCGUUAAUCGGAAUUACUGGGCGUAAAGCGUGCGCAGGCGGUUAUAUAAGUCAGAUGUGAAAUCCCCGGGCUUAACCCUGGAAUUGAAUUUGAGACUGUAUAGCUAGAGUAUGGGAGAGGGGGAUGGAAUUCCGCGUGUAGCAGUGAAAUGCGUAGAUAUGCGGAGGAACACCGAUGGCGAAGGCAAUCCCCUGGACCUGUACUGACGCUCAUGCACGAAAGCGUGGGGAGCAAACAGGAUUAGAUACCCUGGUAGUCCACGCCCUAAACGAUGUCAACUGGUUGUUGGGUCUUAACUGACUCAGUAACGAAGCUAACGCGUGAAGUUGACCGCCUGGGAAGUACGGCCGCAAGGUUG
rnacentral:rRNA from 1 species